rnacentral:rRNA from 1 species
UACGUAGGGUGCGAGCGUUGUCCGGAAUUAUUGGGCGUAAAGAGCUCGUAGGCGGUCUGUCGCGUCUGCUGUGAAAACUCGGGGCUUAACCCCGGGCCUGCAGUGGGUACGGGCAGACUAGAGUGAUGUAGGGGAGACUGGAAUUCCUGGUGUAGCGGUGAAAUGCGCAGAUAUCAGGAGGAACACCGAUGGCGAAGGCAGGUCUCUGGGCAUUAACUGACGCUGAGGAGCGAAAGCAUGGGGAGCGAACAGG